rnacentral:rRNA from 1 species
UACGUAGGGUCCGAGCGUUGUCCGGAAUUAUUGGGCGUAAAGAGCUCGUAGGCGGUCUGUUGCGUCGGUUGUGAAAACCUGGGGCUCAACUCCAGGCCUGCAAUCGAUACGGGCAGACUAGAGUUCGGUAGGGGAGACUGGAAUUCCUGGUGUAGCGGUGAAAUGCGCAGAUAUCAGGAGGAACACCGGUGGCGAAGGCGGGUCUCUGGGCCGAAACUGACGCUGAGGAGCGAAGGCGUGGGGAGCGAACGGG